GGGCGUAAGCGCACGUAGGCGGCUUUGUAAGUUAGAGGUGAAAGCCUGGAGCUCAACUCCAGAAUUGCCUUUAAGACUGCAUCGCUUGAAUCCAGGAGAGGUGAGUGGAAUUCCGAGUGUAGAGGUGAAAUUCGUAGAUAUUCGGAAGAACACCAGUGGCGAAGGCGGCUCACUGGACUGGUAUUGACGCUGAGGUGCGAAAGCGUGGGGAGCAAGCAGGAUUAGAUACCCUGGUAGUCCACGCCGUAAACGAUGAUAACUAGCUGUCCGGGGACUUGGUCUUUGGGUGGCGCAGCUAACGCAUUAAGUUAUCCGCCUGGGGAGUACGGCCGCAAGGUUAAAACUCAAAUGAAUUGACGGGGGCCUGCACAAGCGGUGGAGCAUGUGGUUUGAUUCGAAGCAACGCGCAGAACCUUACCAGCGUUUGACAUGGCAGGACGACUUCUGGAGACAGAUUUCUUCCCUUCGGGGACCUGCACACAGGUGCUGCAUGGCUGUCGUCAGCUCGUGUCGUGAGAUGUUGGGUUAAGUCCCGCAACGAGCGCAACCCUCGCCUUUAGUUACCAUCAUUUAGUUGGGUACUCUAAAGGAACCGCCGGUGAUAAGCCGGAGGAAGGUGGGGAUGACGUCAAGUCCUCAUGGCCCUUACGCGCUGGGCUACACACGUGCUACAAUGGCAAGUACAGUGGGCAGCAAUCCCGCGAGGGUGAGCUAAUCUCCAAAACUUGUCUCAGUUCGGAUUGCACUCUGCAACUCGAGUGCAUGAAGGCGGAAUCGCUAGUAAUCGCGGAUCAGCAUGCCGCGGUGAAUACGUUCCCAGGCCUUGUACACACCGCCCGUCACACCAUGGGAGUUGGAUUCACCCGAAAGGCGUUGCGCUAACUCAGCAAUGAGAGGCAGGCGACCACGGUGGGUUUAGCGACUGGGGUGAAGUCGUAACAAGGUAACCA
rnacentral:rRNA from 1 species